CAGCAGACACAUUCCAGCCAAUCAGCAUCAGACCCUCCCUCCCAGACCCUCUCACCUCCUGGACAGCUCACUAAGAAUGCAGCUUCACAAUGAAUGUAAAAUGGAUGCUGUCCAGGAGGUGGGAGGGUCUGGGAGGGAGGGUCUGCUGCUGAUUGGCUGGAAUGUGUCUGCUG
rnacentral:miRNA from 1 species